CGGGGAUUAAAAAAGCCGACAACAGUUGCUGACGUGUGGACCCGAGGAUGGCGGCCGUCAUAAAUAAUGUUGAGCGCGGUGGUUGGGACGGACACUGAAAGGGCGCGCGCGUCCGUGCCGACGCAUUUCAGUCCCAAAUUUGGGUCGGAAAUGGAUCAGCGCGGACGCGAUUUGAAAAUGGGUUGGCGCGUUGGCCCAUCAUUUUUGUCCGCGCGGAUCCAAACGGACGGCGGCGGACGAAAUAGAUCAUCCAAUUAGAGUUGCUCUAAGGCUAGUCAUAGUAGGAAGUAACUUAAACUAGUAACAUACAUAUAUUACUAAUCUAUGUUAUCACCUUCACAGUGGGUAAUAUGAGUUUCAAUUGUAGGGAUAUAUAUCCGGUGCACCCACGCUUAUGAUGCUACCGGUGUAGCUGAUGCCUUAGAGUGUUUUAAAAAAUCUAAAAA
rnacentral:lncRNA from 1 species